rnacentral:rRNA from 1 species
AUUGAACGCUGGCGGCAGGCCUAACACAUGCAAGUCGAACGAGUGGCGGACGGGUGAGUAAUGUCUGGGAAACUGCCCGAUGGAGGGGGAUAACGACUGGAAACGGUAGCUAAUACCGCAUAACAUCGGAUUUGCCCAGAUGGGAUUGGCUAGUCGGGGGGGUAACGGCUCACCUAGGCGACGCUCCCUAGCUGGUCUGAGAGGAUGACCAGCCACACGGGAACUGAGCCACGGUCCAGACUCCUACGGGAGGCAGAAGUGGGGCAUAUUGGACAAUGGGUGAAAGCCUGAUGCAGCCAUGCCGCGUGUAUGAAGAAGGCCUUCGGGUUGUAAAGUACUUUCAGCUGGGAGGCGUUACCCGCAGAAGAAGCACCGGCGAACUCCGUGCCAGCAGCCGCGGUAAUAC